rnacentral:tRNA from 1 species
UCCCGGGUGGUGUAACGGUAACACACCAGCCUUUGGAGCUGGGUUUCAUGGUUCGAAUCCAUGCCCGGGAGCCA